rnacentral:tRNA from 1 species
GUAAGUGUAGCUUAAUGGUAAAGUGAAAACCUUCCAAGUUUUCGAAGAGGGUUCGAUUCCCUUCUCUUACU